rnacentral:rRNA from 1 species
CAAUAGCGUAUAUUAAAGUUGUUGCAGUUAAAAAGCUCGUAGUUGGAUUUCUGGCCGAGUGUCCUAGGCCAGCAUGACGUUUGGUCCUAGGCGCUCUGCCAUCCUUCUGUCAACCUUCGCCUUCUUCAUUGGGGGCGCUGGGCUCAGAUAUUUUACCUUUGAGAAAAUUAGAGUGUUUCAGGCAGGCUUUCGCCGGAAUACAUUAGCAUGGAAUAAUAAGAUAGGACCUCGGUUCUAUUUUGUUGGUUUCUAGAGCUGAGGUAAUGAUUAAUAGGGAUAGUUGGGGCGAUUAGUACUUAACUGUCAGAGGUGAAAUUCUCCAGAUUUGUUAAAGACUAACUUAUGCGAAAGCAUUGCCAAGGAUGUUUUCAUUAAUCAAGAACGAAAGUUAGGGGGAUCAAAGAUGAUUAGAUACCA